rnacentral:tRNA from 2 species
GGUCGGGUGGCCGAGUGCAAGGCGAGGGUCCGCAAGAUUCUACACGGUGGUUCGAUUCCAUCCCCGACCU